rnacentral:misc_RNA from 1 species
AACGCACAUUGCACCCUCUGGUAUUCCAGAGGGUAUGCCUGUUCGAGCGUCAUUGCAACCCCUCAAGCUCUGCUUGGUGUUGGGCCUGGCUCUCCUGCAGCCGACCCCAAAGCCAGUGGUGGCGCUGGCCGACCCUGAGCACAGUAGUUCUCUUGCUCUGGGGAUUUGGCCUGCUGCUCACCAGCAAGUGCCCACUGUCAAAGAUUGACCUCGGAUCAGGUAGGGAUACCCGCUGAACUUAA